GGCUCAAUUAUUGCAGCAGCACAGAAUAUUAGAUAACAACAAAACAAAGGAUGCUCAAAUUUUGAGUCUACAUGCUCAGUUACUGAAAAAAAACAAAUUAGAAUGGGACACUUUCCAAACAGUGAAGGAGGUUUUCCAAACUCCCCCCUAACUGAAUGUGAGGAUGAGUUGGCAUUAGGCGAACAUAGUCAGUUAUUCAGUCCACCACCUGACUGUGUGUUAAAUUUAAAUUCUGUUAGUGCUGCACUAAAAGAAUUUUUAGUAAUAAGUCCAUGCAGCGAAGGAACUGAACAAUUGUGGGACCGUAUUUGGGCCAAAAAUGGGUGUGGUACGGAAACCCAGAAAUGGCAUGAGUUCAACAUAAAACAUGGAUUAGAAUUUUAGCUGGGGAUCAAGCCAAGUCUGGGAGUGUUACAGGAUGGAAGAGCCAGCCUAUAGUUGAAAAAACACUGAGAGUGCAUUACCAUUAAGGUGUGAGGUAAAAUAAUCGAGCAAUGCAAAUUAUCUAAUGAGAAGUACCAUCUUGUGUUAAUGAAUCCGAUACAACAGCAAUCCUUUAUAGUUCUGUCACAGCUAGAAGCCUCAAAUAAUUCUGCUUCUCUGGCUAAAGAACAACUUGUCCUUUACAUUCAGAGUGUUGGUGAAACAGGGUACUUCAAUGGCCCUAAAGAUGUUUUACUUUGCUGCCAUUGCAGGCAUGAACAUCAUACAUGGACUAUUUAGGUAUGAAAGGAAUGUUUGUCUAUUAACCGCCAGAGAACUGAGAGAAAAAAAAUCUUGUGAAUCUACAAACAACAGCAGAAAAACAGAAAUGAAUGAAACAUUCAAUGAGCUAUCUUCCAAUUAUCGGUGAACAACUGAUGCAAACAAAGCAGAUCAUUAAAUCAAAUUGAUAUUUUUAUUUACAAAACAGCAACUCUGUUGCUGUCUGCGUAAUUGGCUGGUGGGAUCUUAUUGAGCUCUGUUAGUUCAAUUUGAUGAAAAAGUAUGUUGUGUAGGAUACAUGGGAUCCUGAUGUUGCAGCUCCAUGGAAGAUGGAAAGCCUCAUGAUCAAUGCAGUCUGGAAGCUGUGAUAUGCUAUGAAAAGGAACUGUUUGAGGGCAUCGUCUUUGGGUACGCCUUAACAAUUUUGAUAAAGUCGUCCUCCAGGUUACAGAAAAAGAUGUACCUCAAUACAUAACAUCAUUCGAAGAGGCCGGCCUGCGCCAACUACUACGUCAAAACAUUAAGAAUUCUGGCUACGUAAAACCAACACCUGUUCAGAAAGCUUCAGUUGCAGUUAUUGUUGCCAAAAGAGAUUUAAUUGCUUGUGCUGUCACGGGCUCCGGCAAAACGGCGGCGUACUUGGUACCGGUUUUGAACAUAUUGUUAGAACGAGGUGUUGCGAAACAUCCGACCGACUUUCUCCGAUUACGUAUCUGCUGAAAGGUAGUAUGUCGUUUUAUCGGACAUACAAGCUAAAGAAAUAAAGUAAGAUAAAACGGGGGAGGGGGUUUAAAAAUUAUAAAACAUGCUUCUCUGUUUGGGUCGAUGCGACUUUUACUUAUUCGAUGGAACAUGCCAUUUCGAAUGUGCCGAUGGUUCGUGUUUAUGGUAAAACUGGUGCACCUUAGCUGAUUACCAUUCUUCCUUAGGCAAUGUCUUGUUUCUUACUCGUCCUUUAUUUCUCGCAAUUCCUUUCGGACAGCAUCUAGCAUGAGAAACUUUCACAGGGGAAAUAGAUUAUCCGCUAAUUUCUCUGGGAUACUUUCAACAUGUUUUAUACUUUCUAUAUUCUAUCGUUUGACUGAAAGGACUGGCGCAGAAAACUCAUGUUUUUUUUUUGUCAUUUUCUUUGUUAAAUUGUAUAAGCGCAAAGGGCACACAGGUGUUUGCAAUACGCCCAAUA